CCUACGGGGGGCAGCAGUGAGGAAUAUUGGUCAAUGGACGAGAGUCUGAACCAGCCAAGUAGCGUGAAGGAUGACUGCCCUAUGGGUUGUAAACUUCUUUUAUAUGGGAAUAAAACGUUCCACGUGUGGGAUUUUGUAUGUACCAUAUGAAUAAGGAUCGGCUAACUCCGUGCCAGCAGCCGCGGUAAUACGGAGGAUCCGAGCGUUAUCCGGAUUUAUUGGGUGUAAAGGGAGCGUAGGUGGAUUGUUAAGUCAGAUGUGAAAGUUUGCGGCUCAACCGUAAAAUUGCAGUUGAAACUGGCAGUCUUGAGUACAGUAGAGGUAGGCGGAAUUCGUGGUGUAGCGGUGAAAUGCUUAGAUAUCACGAAGAACUCCGAUUGCGAAGGCAGUUCACUGGACUGCAACUGACGCUGAGGCUCGAAAGUGUGGGUAUCAAACAGGAUUAGAUACCCCUGUAGUC
rnacentral:rRNA from 1 species